AUGCAGUCGAACGGUGAACACGGAGCUUGCUCUGUGGGAUCAGUGGCGAACGGGUGAGUAACACGUGAGCAACCUGCCCCUGACUCUGGGAUAAGCGCUGGAAACGGCGUCUAAUACUGGAUACGAGUAGCGACCGCAUGGUCAGUUACUGGAAAGAUUUAUUGGUUGGGGAUGGGCUCGCGGCCUAUCAGCUUGUUGGUGAGGUAAUGGCUCACCAAGGCGUCGACGGGUAGCCGGCCUGAGAGGGUGACCGGCCACACUGGGACUGAGACACGGCCCAGACUCCUACGGGAGGCAGCAGUGGGGAAUAUUGCACAAUGGGCGCAAGCCUGAUGCAGCAACGCCGCGUGAGGGAUGACGGCCUUCGGGUUGUAAACCUCUUUUAGCAGGGAAGAAGCGAAAGUGACGGUACCUGCAGAAAAAGCGCCGGCUAACUACGUGCCAGCAGCCGCGGUAAUACGUAGGGCGCAAGCGUUAUCCGGAAUUAUUGGGCGUAAAGAGCUCGUAGGCGGUUUGUCGCGUCUGCUGUGAAAUCCGGAGGCUCAACCUCCGGCCUGCAGUGGGUACGGGCAGACUAGAGUGCGGUAGGGGAGAUUGGAAUUCCUGGUGUAGCGGUGGAAUGCGCAGAUAUCAGGAGGAACACCGAUGGCGAAGGCAGAUCUCUGGGCCGUAACUGACGCUGAGGAGCGAAAGGGUGGGGAGCAAACAGGCUUAGAUACCCUGGUAGUCCACCCCGUAAACGUUGGGAACUAGUUGUGGGGUCCAUUCCACGGAUUCCGUGACGCAGCUAACGCAUUAAGUUCCCCGCCUGGGGAGUACGGCCGCAAGGCUAAAACUCAAAGGAAUUGACGGGGACCCGCACAAGCGGCGGAGCAUGCGGAUUAAUUCGAUGCAACGCGAAGAACCUUACCAAGGCUUGACAUAUACGAGAACGGGCCAGAAAUGGUCAACUCUUUGGACACUCGUAAACAGGUGGUGCAUGGUUGUCGUCAGCUCGUGUCGUGAGAUGUUGGG
rnacentral:rRNA from 1 species